rnacentral:lncRNA from 1 species
GUCUUUUUAAGUUCUUUAUAGAUUUGAGAUAGUGGGCCUUUGUCUGAGGAAAAGCAGGUGAAGAUUUUUUCCCACAUUGUGGAUUGUCUCUUCACACUGCUGGUGGUUUCUCUUGCUGUGCAGAAGCUUUUUAAUAAGAAGAGAUCCCACCUGUUGAUUGUUUGUGCUAGUUCAUGGGCAACUGAGGUUUUGUUCAUAAAAUCUUUUCCUACACCGAUGUCUUCAAGGGUUCUACCUAACCUCUGUUCCAACUGGUUCAGAGUUUCUAUUUUAGUAUUUAGAUCUUUAAUCCAUUUUGAUUUUAGUUUAGUGCAUGGUGAGAGAUAUUGGUCUAGUUUUAAUCUUUGGCAAGUUGAAGCCCAAUUUUUCCAGCACCAUUUAUUAAAGAGGCUAUCUUUCCUCCAGUGAGGGUGUUUGGCUCCUUUGUCAAAGAGGAGAUGGCUGAGUGUAUCUGGCGUUGUUUCUGCAUCUUCUAAUCUGUUCCACUGGUCCUCAAGCCUGUUUAUUUGCCAGUACCAUGCUGUUUUUAUCACAGUAGUUUGGAGUAGAGUUGCAAGUUGGGGAUUGUGAUACCUCCUGCCAUGUCUCUGUUACCUAGAAUUGCUUUUGCUAUUCUGGGUCUCUUCUUGCUCCAAAUGAAUUUUUGGAUUGUUUUCUCAAGGUCUAUGAAGUAUGCUGCUGGGAUCUCAAUUGGAAUUGCAUGAAAUCUAUAUAGCAGUUUUGGAAGUAUGGCCAUUUUCACUAUAUUAAUCCUUCCUACCCAGGAGCAGGGGAUGUCUGUCCAUUUUCUGAUAUCAUCUUCAAUCUCUCUUUUCACAAUGCCAUAGUUUUCAGAGAAGAGGUCUUUGAUUUUGUUCGUUAGGAUGAUUCCUAGGUAUUUCAGUUUUUUGGAUGCUAUUGUGAAAGGAAUUAUUUGCCCUAUUUCUCUCUCAGUGAGUCUGUCUUUGGUGUAGAGGAAAGCUAUUGAUUUUUGUGUGUUGACCUUGUAACCAGCUACUUGACUGAAUUGGAUUAUUAAGUCUAGAAGACUUUUGGUGGGGUUCUUGGGGUCUUCUAUAUAGAGUAUCAUGUCAUCUGCAAAUAAUGACAAUUUGACUUCUUCAUUUCCUAUCUUUACUCCUUUUAUUUCUUUCUCUUGUCUAAUUGCCGUGGCUAAUGUUUCCAGAACUAUAUUGAACAAGAGUGGUGAUAGUGGACAUCCUUGUCUUGUUCCUGAUUUGAGUGUGAAGGAUUUCAGUUUUUGACCAUUUACUAUGAUAUUGGCUGUUGGUUUUUCAUAGAUGGCUUCUAUCAGUUUGAGGUAGAGACCAUCUAUUCCAAUUUUUUGUAGGGUUUUGAUGAUAAAUGCAUGUUGGAUUUUGUCAAAUGCUUUUUCUGCAUCUAUGGAGAUAAUCAUAUGGUUUUUGUCCUUGGCUCUGUUGAUAUAGUGUAUUAGAUUGGUUGAUUUUCAUAUGUUGUACCAUCCCUGCAUCCCUGGGAUGAAUCCCACUUGAUCAGGGUGUAUGAUCUUCUUGAUGAUCUUCUGCAUUCUGUUUGCCAGUAUCUUAUUAAGGAUUUUUGCAUCUCUGUUCAUUAGUGAGAUUGGCCUAUAGUUCUCUUUUUCAGUUGGGUCUUUCUCUGCUUUGGCAAUCAAGGUGAUGCUUGCUUCCAGGAAUGAAUUUGGGAGUAUUGCUUCCCUUUCAAUUUCAUUGAAGAGUUUAAACAGUAGUGGCAGCAGUUCCUCUCUAAAUGUCUUGUAGAAUUCAGCAGUGAAGCCAUCAGGGCCCGGGCUUUUCUUAGUUGAUAAGUUUUUAAUUACAUUUUCAAUUUCAUUGGUUGAUAUUGGGUUGUUCAGAAGUUUUAGGUCUUCUUUGUUUAACUUUGGUAAUUCAUAUGUAUCUAGGAAUCUGUCCAUUUCCUCUGUGUUGUCCAUCUUUUUGGCAUACAGGUUCUGGAAGUAAGUAUUGAUGAUCCUCUGGAUUUCUGCUGGGUCUGUUGUCAUUUCACCCUUUUCAUUCCUAAUUGCAUGGAUUUGGGCCUUUUCUUUCCUUUUUCUGACAAGGUUGGCUAAAGAUUUGUCAAUUUUGUUGAUUCUUUCGAAGAACCAACUCUUGGCUUCGUUGAUUUUUUGUAUCAUUCUCUUAGUCUCCAUUGCGUUGAUGUCUCCUCUGAUCUUUAUAAUUUCCUCCCUUGUAUGAGCUUUGGGGUUGUCCUGCUCUUCUUUUUCUAGAAGCUUGAGGUUCAGCCUCAGGUUGUUUAAUUGGGCUUGUUCUGUUUUCCUAAUAUGCAUAUUCACUGCUAUGAAUUUCCCUCGUAAGACUGCUUUCAUUGUGUCCCAUAGAUUCCGAUAUGUUGUAUUGUCAUUGUCAUUUCAUUGAAGGAACUGUCUGAUUUCUUAAUUUCCUCUGUGACCCAUUGGUUAUUCAGAAGUGUGUUGUUCAAUUUCCACGUGUUUAUGAAAUUUUUUGAGUUUCUUUUGCUGUUGAUCUCCAAUUUCAUGGCACUAUGGUCUGGUAAUAUACAGGGGAUAACUUCAAUUCCUUUGCACUUACUUAAACAUGUUGUAUGUGUGAGUACGUGGUCUGUUUUAGAGAAUGACCCAUGUGCAGCUGAGAAGAAUGUGUAUUCUGAUUUUGUGGGGUGGAAGACUCUGUAAACAUCUGUUAAGUUCAUUCAUUCAAGAGUUUGAUUGAGUUCUAGUAUUUCAUUACUUAUUUUUAGUCUAGUUGAUCUAUCUAUUUGUGACAGUGGGGUGUUGAGUUCCCCCACUACAAUUGUAUUAGUGCAUAUAUGACUUUUCAUGUCCGUUAGUAUUUGUUUUAUAUAGUUGGGUGCAAUAGUGUUUGGUGCAUAGAUAUUUAUGAUUGUCAUCUCUUCCUCUUGGAUUCUUCCCUUUACAAGGAUGUAGUGUCCUUCUUCAUCUCUCUUAAUCAGUGUUGGUUUGAAAUCUACUUGAUCUGCCAAGAGGAUAGCUACUCCCGCUUUUUUGCGGGUUGCUGUCGCAUGGAGUAUUGUUUUCCACCCUUUAACUUUCAGUCUAUGAGUUUCCUUUUGAAUGAAGUGAUCCUCAAUGUCUGUUCCUAGGAUAUUGUGUAAAAUUCUUUGGAGUGCUGGUUUGGUAUUCACGAAAUUCCUAAGGUGCUCUUUGUCAUGAAAGUAUCUUAUUUCUCCAUCCAGUUUGAAAGAUAGUUUUGCAGGGUACAUCAAUCUGGUUUGGAGGCUGUUUUCUUUUAGGGCUUGGAAUAUGUCACUCCAAGAUCUUCUUGCCUUGAUGGUUUGUGUUGAGAAGUUUGCUGUGAUUCUGAUGGGCUUUCCUUUGUAUGUGAUUUGUUUCUUUUCUCUAACUGCUUGUAGAACUUUGUUCUUCUGUUGUGUUUCUGGAAUCUUAACAAUUAUAUGCCUAUGUGUAGAUUUUUUUUGAUCAAGGCUAUUUGGAGUCCUAUAUGCCUCACUUUUUUGUAUGUCAAGCUCUUUUCCCUUGCUUGGGAAGUUUUCUGCCAUUAUUUCUGUGAAGAGAUUUUUUUAUGUCAUCUGCACCCUCUCCUGUUUCUUCAUUGAGCCCAAUCAGUCUUAUGUUAUUCUUUUUUGCAUCAUCUUGGAGCUGCUGGAUUGAUUUCUCAUGUUCCCUUAUAAUUUUGAAGCAAUUUUUCUUUUCCUGGUCACUAAUUGCAAUCUUAUCUUCUAUAUCUGAAAUUCUGUCCUCACAUUGGCUCAUUCUGCUGUGUAGACUUUCAAUGGAGUUUUUCAUGUCCUGGAAAUCUAUUUGCAUCUGUUUUAUGGAUUCCAUUUGUUUCUUAUGUUGGGAUUCCAUCAUGUUCCUGAGCUCCUCUCUAGAUUUAUUAAUCAUGUCUUGCACUAGGGGCACAAUUUCUCCUGUUAUCUGAGAAAUUAUUUCUGAUUUCAUUUUUUCCAGAUCUUCUUUUGUUGCCAGUUCAUUGGGUCCAGGUGAUUGGGUAUCAGAGUGUUCCAUCUUAUUUCCCUUUGGGGUUGCUGUAGGUGAUCUGGACAUCUGGUUUUGAGACUUAUUUACAUGUUUUCUCAUUUUCACUGGGGCGAGGGGCUGUUAGCACCUGCAGGGAUUACCUCCUCUGAGCUGAGAGAGGUGGGACAGGGGCUGGGAGCAGCGGUAGGGAUGAUGACCCAAAAGCCCUUUCCUGUGGGCUGGGAGCAGCCGGAGCAAUGGUGGCUGGGAACCCCCUUCCUCUGGACUAGGAGCUGUGGGAUGGUGGCUCAGAAGUCCCUCCAUCUGGGCCGGGAGCGGUGGGAGGGAUGGUGGCCUGGAAGCCCCUUCUUCUGGGCCAGGAGCAGCAGGACACAAGGUGGCCCAAAAGCCCUUUCCUCUGGGCUGGGAGCAUUGGGAGUGAUGGUGACCAGGAAUCCCCUUCCUCUGGACCAGGAGCAGUGGGACGAUGGCUCAGAAGCCCCUACCUCUGGGCCGGGCACAGUAGGACUCAGUUCCUUGCCCUGGUGGUCUGGUGUCCUCUGGGUCUUUGUAGUGUGGAAUCAGGUGGCUGCCUGUCUGCAGCGGGGUGAUUCGGUGUCUUCCCCGUGACUCAGGACCUUGGUAGGGCAGGCACAGACCUGCCUGUCUGCAGCGGGCCACUUUUCAUUUUCUUAACAAUGCCAUUUAAAGUUCUAAAUUUUGAUGGAAUCUCAUUUAUCAAUUUUUUUCUUUUAUAC